rnacentral:sRNA from 1 species
UGAGUGGUUUUUCGGAUCAUGUCUGGUGGCUCCGCGGAUUAUAACAGAGAACAUGGCGGCCCAGAGGGAAUGGACCCCGAUGGUGUCAUCGAGAGCAACUGGAAUGAGAUUGUUGAUAACUUUGAUGAUAUGAAUUUAAAGGAGUCUCUUCUUCGUGGCAUCUAUGCUUACGGUUUUGAGAAGCCUUCCGCUAUUCAGCAGAGAGCUAUUAUUCCCUGUAUUAAAGAUCCAAAAGGUAAUUCUGGCACUUGGAGACUAUAUGGGAGCCACUUGUCAUGCCUGCAUUGGUGGAACAAAUGUUCGAAAUGAAAUGCAAAAACUGCAGGCUGAAGCACCACAUAUUGUUGUUGGUACACCCGGGAGAGUGUUUGAUAUGUUAAACAGAAGAUACCUUUCUCCAAAAUGGAUCAAAAUGUUUGUUUUGGAUGAAGCAGAUGAAAUGUUGAGCCGUGGUUUUAAGGAUCAAAUCUAUGAGAUUUUCCAAAAACUAAACACAAGUAUCCAGGUUGUGUUGCUUUCUGCCACAAUGCCAACUGAUGUGUUGGAAGUGACCAAAAAAUUCAUGAGAGAUCCAAUUCGAAUUCUGGUGAAAAAGGAAGAAUUGACCCUUGAAGGAAUCAAACAGUUUUAUAUUAAUGUUGAGAGAGAGGAGUGGAAGUUGGAUACACUUUGUGACUUGUACGAGACACUGACCAUCACGCAGGCUGUUAUUUUUCUCAAUACGAGGCGCAAGGUGGACUGGCUGACUGAGAAAAUGCAUGCCAGAGAUUUCACAGUUUCUGCUCUGGUAAGAGGUGUUCUAAAAUGUCUGAAUUUCCACUAAAGCAGGAUUCAGACUACAAUAUAGCUGUUAAGUGCUGUGUUGUCGUUCCCCCUGCUCAAAAUAAAGUUGUUUCUUAACUAUACCUG